rnacentral:rRNA from 1 species
GAUGAACGCUGGCGGCGUGCCUAAUGCAUGCAAGUCGAGCGAACGGACGAGAAGCUUGCUUCUCUGAUGUUAGCGGCGGACGGGUGAGUAACACGUGGAUAACCUACCUAUAAGACUGGGAUAACUUCGGGAAACCGGAGCUAAUACCGGAUGAUAUUUUGAACCGCAUGGUUCAAAAGUGAAAGACGGUCUUGCUGUCACUUAUAGAUGGAUCCGCGCUGCAUUAGCUAGUUGGUAAGGUAACGGCUUACCAAGGCAACGAUGCAUAGCCGACCUGAGAGGGUGAUCGGCCACACUGGAACUGAGACACGGUCCAGACUCCUACGGGAGGCAGCAGUAGGGAAUCUUCCGCAAUGGGCGAAAGCCUGACGGAGCAACGCCGCGUGAGUGAUGAAGGUCUUCGGAUCGUAAAACUCUGUUAUUAGGGAAGAACAUAUGUGUAAGUAACUGUGCACAUCUUGACGGUACCUAAUCAGAAAGCCACGGCUAACUACGUGCCAGCAGCCGCGGUAAUACGUAGGUGGCAAGCGUUAUCCGGAAUUAUUGGGCGUAAAGCGCGCGUAGGCGGUUUUUUAAGUCUGAUGUGAAAGCCCACGGCUCAACCGUGGAGGGUCAUUGGAAACUGGAAAACUUGAGUGCAGAAGAGGAAAGUGGAAUUCCAUGUGUAGCGGUGAAAUGCGCAGAGAUAUGGAGGAACACCAGUGGCGAAGGCGACUUUCUGGUCUGUAACUGACGCUGAUGUGCGAAAGCGUGGGGAUCAAACAGGAUUAGAUACCCUGGUAGUCCACGCCGUAAACGAUGAGUGCUAAGUGUUAGGGGGUUUCCGCCCCUUAGUGCUGCAGCUAACGCAUUAAGCACUCCGCCUGGGGAGUACGACCGCAAGGUUGAAACUCAAAGGAAUUGACGGGGACCCGCACAAGCGGUGGAGCAUGUGGUUUAAUUCGAAGCAACGCGAAGAACCUUACCAAAUCUUGACAUCCUUUGACAACUCUAGAGAUAGAGCCUUCCCCUUCGGGGGACAAAGUGACAGGUGGUGCAUGGUUGUCGUCAGCUCGUGUCGUGAGAUGUUGGGUUAAGUCCCGCAACGAGCGCAACCCUUAAGCUUAGUUGCCAUCAUUAAGUUGGGCACUCUAAGUUGACUGCCGGUGACAAACCGGAGGAAGGUGGGGAUGACGUCAAAUCAUCAUGCCCCUUAUGAUUUGGGCUACACACGUGCUACAAUGGACAAUACAAAGGGCAGCGAAACCGCGAGGUCAAGCAAAUCCCAUAAAGUUGUUCUCAGUUCGGAUUGUAGUCUGCAACUCGACUACAUGAAGCUGGAAUCGCUAGUAAUCGUAGAUCAGCAUGCUACGGUGAAUACGUUCCCGGGUCU